rnacentral:lncRNA from 1 species
UUUUUUGUAGUUAUUUUUUGUUGGCAUUUUUUGCAAUUGUAUUGUUGGAUUUUCGUGUGUGUUUCUUUCUUUCUUUUUUUUUUUUUUUGAAUGUUCAACUAGGAUUUUGGUUCAGGUUUUUUGGUUGGGAUUUUAUUAGUGGAAUUUUUGUUAGGAUUUUUUGAGGUUGUCCUUUAGUGGUAAUUUUUACUAUUUUUUGUUAAUUUUUUUUUGUAGUUUCAUUUAAACUUCUA